AGUGAAAGUGCUGGAUCAUAUAGUAACUCUACAUUUAACUUUUUGAGAAACUGCUGGACUCUUUUCCAAAGUUACUGCACCAUUUUACAUUUCCAACAGCAGU
rnacentral:pre_miRNA from 1 species